CAACCUGCCCACCACUUGGGGAUAACCUUGCGAAAGUAAGACUAAUACCCAAUGACGUCUCUAGAAGACAUCUGAAGGAGAUUAAAGAUUUAUCGGUGAUGGAUGGGGAUGCGUCUGAUUAGCUUGUUGGCGGGGUAACGGCCCACCAAGGCGACGAUCAGUAGGGGUUCUGAGAGGAAGGUCCCCCACAUUGGAACUGAGACACGGUCCAAACUCCUACGGGAGGCAGCAGUGAGGAAUAUUGGUCAAUGGACGAGAGUCUGAACCAGCCAAGUAGCGUGCAGGAUGACGGCCCUAUGGGUUGUAAACUGCUUUUAUAAGGGAAUAAAGUGAGAGUCGUGACUCUUUUUGCAUGUACCUUAUGAAUAAGGACCGGCUAAUUCCGUGCCAGCAGCCGCGGUAAUACGGAAGGUCCGGGCGUAAUCCGGAUUUAUUGGGUUUAAAGGGAGCGUAGGCCGGAGAUUAAGCGUGUUGUGAAAUGUAGGUGCUCAACAUCUGAACUGCAGCGCGAACUGGUUUCCUUGAGUACGCACAAAGUGGGCGGAAUUCGUGGUGUAGCGGUGAAAUGCUUAGAUAUCACGAAGAACUCCGAUUG
rnacentral:rRNA from 1 species